CGUGCCCUAUCAGUUAGUUUUUUUGAUUAACAAGUAAUCAUCACUCCAGCCCCAAGUGAAAGAAAAAAGAAAAGAAAAGGUGUGGAAACACCAAUUAAUUUCUUGUUAUGUAUCUUGGAUCAUAUGUAUGAUCCAUCCUUCAUGCAACUAAUACAUUCCAUUCCAAAACCCAGUUGUAUGAUCACCUUGUCCUUUAUUUUGGUCAUAUUGAUCAGUAUUGCCUUGAACUGGCUUCAAAUCCUCCAUGGGAAACAAGAGCCUUGCACCAUUUUCUUGCACC
rnacentral:misc_RNA from 1 species